UUGCUCACCUGUGUCGAGUGCGCAUGUGCCACCGGCUGUUCUUUUAACCUCUGCGGAAGGCACGUCACGAGUUCGUCACGCAGCCAAAAGAACGUUUGAAAAUCCGCGCGCCACAACAUUAAAGUGCUCAAAAUGGCGGAUAUAAUCCCCUCACCUGUCAAGACAGAAAGGACGGGAAAGGAAAUGUCAACACAACCAUGGAAACAAAUUCAAUCAAUCAAUACAAAAAAAAACUUGCAGCUGGUCUGGCGAGAUGGAUGGAGGUCUCCCAGUCCCAGUUCUCACCAGUAGACUCCUGUUGACUUAUUGGGUGUGCUAACAGGGUAUGAAGAG